CUCAGAUUGAACGCUGGCGGAAUGCUUUACACAUGCAAGUCGAACGGUAGAGGGGGCAACCCUCGAGAGUGGCGAACGGGUGAGUAAUAUAUCGGAACGUGCCCAGUCGUGGGGGAUAACGUAGCGAAAGUUACGCUAAUACCGCAUACGCACUGAGGUGGAAAGCAGGGGAUCGCAAGACCUUGCGCUAUACGAGCGGCCGAUGUCAGAUUAGCUAGUUGGUAGGGUAAAGGCCUACCAAGGCGACGAUCUGUAGCGGGUCUGAGAGGAUGAUCCGCCACACUGGGACUGAGACACGGCCCAGACUCCUACGGGAGGCAGCAGUGGGGAAUUUUGGACAAUGGGGGAAACCCUGAUCCAGCCAUGCCGCGUGAGUGAAGAAGGCCUUCGGGUUGUAAAGCUCUUUCGGCUGGGAAGAAAUCGCACAGGCUAAUACUCUGUGUGGAUGACGGUACCAGCACAAGAAGCACCGGCUAACUACGUG
rnacentral:rRNA from 1 species